AGAGUUUGAUCCUGGCUCAGGAUAAACGCUGGCGGCGUGCCUAACACAUGCAAGUCGAACGCCCUCGAGCAAUCGAGGGAGUGGCGGACGGGUGAGGAACACGUGGGUCAUCUACCUUGAGGUGAGGAAUACCGGCGAGAAAUCGCCGACAAUACCGCAUAGCCUUUCUUUCGAGAAAGGAAAGCUUCGUAAGAGGCGCCCCGAGAUGAGCCUGCGCCCGAUUAGCUAGUUGGGGAGGUAACAGCUUCCCAAGGCGACAAUCGGUAGCUGGUCUGAGAGGACGAUCAGCCACACUGGGAUUGAGAACGGCCCAGACUCCUACGGGGGGCAGCAGUGAGGAAUUUUCGUCAAUGGGGGAAACCCUGAACGAGCAACGCCGCGUGCAGGAAGAAGGUUUUCGGACCGUAAACUGCUUUUCUUGGGGAAGAGAACGGACGGUACCCAAGGAAGAAGCCCCGGCUAACUACGUGCCAGCAGCCGCGGUAAUACGUAGGGGGCAAGCGUUGUCCGGAUUUAUUGGGCGUAAGGCGCACGCAGGCGGUCAGCCAAGUUCUGAGUGACAGGUGAGGGCUUACCCCUCGCAGGUCUUGGAAAACUGGCUGACUUGAGGGCUUCAGAGGGACGCGGAAUUCCAGGUGGAGCGGUGAAAUGCGUAGAGAUCUGGAAGAACACCAAAGGCGAAGGCAGCGUCCUGGGAAGCAUCUGACGCUCAGGUGCGAAAGCUAGGGGAGCGAACGGGAUUAGAUACCCCGGUAGUCC
rnacentral:rRNA from 1 species